GAUGAACGCUGGCGGCGUGCUUAACACAUGCAAGUCGAACGGAAAGGCCGAAGCUUGCUUCGGUACUCGAGUGGCGAGCGGGUGAGUAACACGUGGGUGAUCUGCCCUGUACUUCGGGAUAAGCUUGGGAAACUGGGUCUAAUACCGGAUAUGACGAUCUCUUGGAUGGGGUUGUGGAAAGCUUUUGCGGUAUGGGAUGAGCUCGCGGCCUAUCAGCUUGUUGGUGGGGUAAUGGCCUACCAAGGCGUCGACGGGUAGCCGGCCUGAGAGGGUGUACGGCCACAUUGGGACUGAGAUACGGCCCAGACUCCUACGGGAGGCAGCAGUGGGGAAUAUUGCACAAUGGGCGCAGGCCUGAUGCAGCGACGCCGCGUGGGGGAUGACGGCCUUCGGGUUGUAAACUCCUUUCGCAAUCGACGAAGCCUUUUGGUGACGGUAGGUUGAGAAGAAGCACCGGCUAACUACGUG
rnacentral:rRNA from 1 species